AGCGAACGCUGGCGGCAGGCUUAACACAUGCAAGUCGAACGGAUCCUUCGGGAUUAGUGGCGGACGGGUGAGUAACACGUGGGAACGUGCCCUUAGGUUCGGAACAACACAGGGAAACUUGUGCUAAUACCGGAUGUGCCUCGUAAGAGGGAAAGAUUUAUCGCCUUUGGAGCGGCCCGCGUCUGAUUAGCUUGUUGGUGAGGUAAAGGCUCACCAAGGCUACGAUCAGUAGCUGGUCNGAGAGGAUGGCCAGCCACAUUGGGACUGAGACACGGCCCAAACUCCUACGGGAGGCAGCAGUGGGGAAUCUUGCGCAAUGGGGGAAACCCUGACGCAGCCAUGCCGCGUGGAUGAUGAAGGUCUUAGGAUUGUAAAAUCCUUUCAGCGGGACGAUAAUGACGGUACCCGCAGAAGAAGCCCCGGCUAACUUCGUGCCAGCA
rnacentral:rRNA from 1 species